GGCUCAGGACGAACGCUGGCGGCGUGCCUAAUACAUGCAAGUCGAGCGGAUGACAGAGGAGCUUGCUCCUCUUGAUUCAGCGGCGGACGGGUGAGUAACACGUGGGCAACCUGCCCUGUAGAUUGGGAUAACUCCGGGAAACCGGGGCUAAUACCGAAUAAUCCUUCGGACCUCAUGGUCCGAUGUUGAAAGGCGGCUUCGGCUGUCACUACAGGAUGGGCCCGCGGCGCAUUAGCUAGUUGGUGAGGUAACGGCUCACCAAGGCCACGAUGCGUAGCCGACCUGAGAGGGUGAUCGGCCACACUGGGACUGAGACACGGCCCAGACUCCUACGGGAGGCAGCAGUAGGGAAUCUUCCACAAUGGACGAAAGUCUGAUGGAGCAACGCCGCGUGAGUGAAGAAGGUUCUCGGAUCGUAAAACUCUGUUGUGAGGGAAGAACAAGUACCGGAGUAACUGCCGGUACCUUGACGGUACCUCAUUAGAAAGCCACGGCUAACUACGUGCCAGCAGCCGCGGUAAUACGUAGGUGGCAAGCGUUGUCCGGAAUCAUUGGGCGUAAAGCGCGCGCAGGCGGUCCCUUAAGUCUGAUGUGAAAGCCCACGGCUCAACCGUGGAGGGUCAUUGGAAACUGGGGGACUUGAGUGCAGAA
rnacentral:rRNA from 2 species